CUCCUCUGGACUUGCUUCAUGGUGGACAAGCAACCCGCAGAAGCCAAGUGGCGAAGAGGACAGAUCUUUGCAGGUGGCAGCCCAGGCCAUUGGACAGCAUUGUUCUGCUGCACUGAAAACUUUAAAGGGUCCUUCAGGCAAAAGUCAGAUCUCAUCCCUUUCAUUUCACAGAUCCUCCCUGGCUCCUUCCGGGCCUACAGCCUGGGCUACAAAGCCAAUGUACCAGUGUCUAUGUGUUUGCUGGAGGAACUGUUACUGAGCAACGGUAUCCUGAGUGACACAACACAUCGCCAUGCCUUGCAGAGUGUCGGGCGCACCGCUUGCUGCAGCCAGGCCCUUCCUCCCACUGAGCUGUGUUGGCAUCAAACUCAGAUCAGCCUUGAACGCUCAAAGAAAAACCUGCCUGCUCUGAAUAUUGCCUGAGGAAUUAGAAAGGUCUUUCUUGGAAACAGAAGAAUGAGAUGAAACGAUCAUCUGUAGAGCAUGGUCUUUGUCCCAGAAAAUACAGAGAGAAAGAAGAUCCUGGAGUUGAACUGGAGCUGAGCUGACCAUGGACUUCGUCCGAAGAGUAGAAUGUGCUUGGAAACCUUCCUAUCUCUGUGAUGGGCCUUAUUAGCCCUUGGAGGAGCUGGCAUGAGUUGGAUGGCUGUAACGUGUCCUGUUAUGCUGUACCAGAAAUCUCAGCUCAUGGAGAAGGACAUCUCAAAGCUGAGCUGGGAAUGAAUCCGCUGGAUGUCCAGCUGGCCCCUGUGACUUCCAAAGCAUUAACACUGCAGAGACUGGAACGAUAUUUGAACUACUUUAGGAUUCAGAUGACUGCAAAACCGAAACCUCUGUGGGCUCACAGCUGCUCCACCACAUUUGCAGCACAGUCUGUGCAGCAGCCCAUCGCCGAUGGAAACACAAACAAGGGCUGUCAGAACAUUUCUGUUCAAAGGAGUUACGACCCAUUCUGCAGGAGCCAGGGCCUGAACAGCAUCUCCACCUGGAUUUUCCAAGGUUUCUUGUCUUGAAAGUGGAAUCAGGAAGAAGAUCUUUGGGAGGCAGGACCCUGACAGAGAUUUCAUCAUUUCAUUUAUGGCUUCAGUGAGCUGUGUGGUAGGUACAGUUUGUCUGGUGUCCCACAGUGGCAGGUACACUGCCUUAGUCAUUCUGUACUAUGGUUGUAAGGUUGUUCUGAUGUACUUAA